rnacentral:lncRNA from 1 species
CGAGAAGAAGGAGGCCGAGGAGAAGAAGAAGAAGGAGGAGGAAGAGAAGAAGAAGAAGGAAAAAGAGGAAGAGGAGAAGAAGAAAAGGUGCUGCCCCAAGCCGCCGUGCAAGCCGUGCCCUCCGCCUCCUUGCAGUCCGUGCCCUCCGCCUCCUUGCACGCCGUGCCCUCCUCCGCCGUGCCCUCUGCCACCGUGCCCACCGCCGUACCUCAAGCCGUGCUACAUCCCCAUCGAAGACGAGUAUCCCGGGCCCUGCACCAUCGUCUGAGACUGAGAGAGCAAC